rnacentral:snRNA from 1 species
UGAGCCGUCACACGGAAUCGA